rnacentral:tRNA from 1 species
AAAAAGAUAAGCUAAAAUAAGCUAAUAGGUUCAUACCCUAUUUAUAGAAACCGCCCUUCUUCUUUUUA